rnacentral:rRNA from 1 species
GAUGAACGCUGGCGGCGUUCCUAAUACAUGCAAGUCGAUCGAACAGACGAGGAGCUUGCUCCUCUGACGUUAGCGGCGGACGGGUGAGUAACACGUGGAUAACCUACCUAUAAGACUGGGAUAACUUCGGGAAACCGGAGCUAAUACCGGAUAAUAUAUUGAACCGCAUGGUUCAAUAGUGAAAGACGGUUUUGCUGUCACUUAUAGAUGGAUCCGCGCCGCAUUAGCUAGUUGGUAAGGUAACGGCUUACCAAGGCAACGAUGCGUAGCCGACCUGAGAGGGUGAUCGGCCACACUGGAACUGAGACACGGUCCAGACUCCUACGGGAGGCAGCAGUAGGGAAUCUUCAGCAAUGGGCGAAAGCCUGACGGAGCAACGCCGCGUGAGUGAUGAAGGUCUUCGGAUCGUAAAACUCUGUUAUUAGGGAAGAACAAAUGUGUAAGUAACUAUGCACGUCUUGACGGUACCUAAUCAGAAAGCCACGGCUAACUACGUG